GGGACAAGGGACUGGCAUGGCUAUGGCCAGUUUACAGUAACUGAUGAAGCUUGGAUGGUGAUGCUGAAGGAAGGAAGACAUGGCAGACAGGACUAGAAAACGGUGUGGGAUUAAAGCAACAGAACCAAGGAGGAUCAGGAGACAGAGGAUGCCGUGCGCAACAAGUCAUGACUAAUGUCAAGAAGGUUAAUGGAAUCAUUGGAGCUCUGGGUUUUAAUGACAGGUUCCCUGAGCCCACAACACAGCAUGCCUGUCACAGAAGUGA
rnacentral:lncRNA from 1 species